UAGGGAAUCUUCCGCAAUGGACGCAAGUCUGACGGAGCAACGCCGCGUGAGUGAAGAAGGAUUUCGGUUCGUAAAACUCUGUUGUUAGAGAAGAACAGCGCAUAGAGUAACUGUUAUGCGUGUGACGGUAUCUACCAGAAAGCCACGGCUAACUACGUGCCAGCAGCCGCGGUAAUACGUAGGUGGCAAGCGUUGUCCGGAUUUAUUGGGCGUAAAGCGAGCGCAGGCGGUCAAUUAAGUCUGAUGUGAAAGCCCCCGGCUCAACCGGGGAGGGUCAUUGGAAACUGGUUGACUUGAGUGCAGAAGAGGAGAGUGGAAUUCCAUGUGUAGCGGUGAAAUGCGUAGAUAUAUGGAGGAACACCAGUGGCGAAGGCGACUCUCUGGUCUGUAACUGACGCUGAGGUUCGAAAGCGUGGGUAGCAAACAGG
rnacentral:rRNA from 1 species